CAACUACUCCCUCUGUCCCAAAUUUCUUGUCUUAGAUUUUUCUAGAUACGGAUGUAUCUAAUACUAAAAUGUGACUUGAUACAUUUGUAUCUAGACAAAUCUAAGACAAGAAUUUUGGGACGGAGGGAGUACUUU
rnacentral:pre_miRNA from 1 species